UUCGCAAUGCCCGAAAGGGUGACGAUGCGACGCCGCGUGAGCGAAGAAGGCCUUAGGGUUGUAAAGCUCUGUCGAGGGUUAUGAAAUAUAGAUGGGUUAAUACCCCAUUUAUUUGACAAAAGCCCAAAAGGAAGCCACGGCUAACUCUGUGCCAGCAGCCGCGGUAAUACAGAGGUGGCGAGCGUUGUUCGGUAUUAUUGGGCGUAAAGAGCACGUAGGUGGUUUUGUAAGUCAGGUGUGAGAGCCUUCUGUUCAAAGGAAGAACGGCAUCUGAAACUGCAGAUCUUGAGUGUAGGAGGGGAGAGUGGAACUUCUGGUGGAGCGGUGAAAUGCGUAGAUAUCAGUAGGAACGUCGGCGGCGAAAGCGACUCUCUGGCCUAUUACUGACACUGAGGUGCGAAAGUUAGGGGAGCAAACGGGAUUAGAUACCCCGGUAGUCCUAACCGUAAACGAUGGGCACUAAGUAGAGGGGUUUU
rnacentral:rRNA from 1 species